rnacentral:rRNA from 1 species
GGGUGUGGCGGCAGGCCUAACACAUGCAAGUCGAGCGGUAGAGAGGUGCUUGCACCUCUUGAGAGCGGCGGACGGGUGAGUAAUGCCUAGGAAUCUGCCUGGUAGUGGGGGAUAACGCUCGGAAACGGACGCUAAUACCGCAUACGUCCUACGGGAGAAAGCAGGGGACCUUCGGGCCUUGCGCUAUCAGAUGAGCCUAGGUCGGAUUAGCUAGUUGGUGGGGUAAUGGCUCACCAAGGCGACGAUCCGUAACUGGUCUGAGAGGAUGAUCAGUCACACUGGAACUGAGACACGGUCCAGACUCCUACGGGAGGCAGCAGUGGGGAAUAUUGGACAAUGGGCGAAAGCCUGAUCCAGCCAUGCCGCGUGUGUGAAGAAGGUCUUCGGAUUGUAAAGCACUUUAAGUUGGGAGGAAGGGCAGUUACUU